rnacentral:rRNA from 1 species
AUGAGGAAGGAGAUCAUCAUUCGGAUGUAUGUGAACUCGGAGAAAUACCAAACCAAAGCCAUGAAAGUGGCAGCUACGGCUAGCGGGGUGGAGUCGGUGACGCUGGCCGGCGGCGACAAGAAUCUGCUGCUGGUGAUCGGCGACGACGUGGACUCGAACAAGCUGACCAAGAGCCUCAAGAAGAAGGUGGGCGCCGCUGAGAUCGUGGAGCUGAGGACGCUCGACACGUUCGGCGCGUCGUCGCUCCCGCUCCCGCCGGGGACAAAGGGGCCGGUGGCGCCGUACAACGGCUCGCAGCACUACCAGUACGGCGCGGCGCCAGGCCCGUACGCUUACCACCACCACCCGUCGCCGCUGGCCGCGCAAGGCGGCUAUGGCUAUGGCUACGGCUACGGCAGCAGCUACUCGCGAGCGGUGGCGCGCAGCCACCCGGGCAACUACUCGCCGCUGGUCGAGAGGCACGACUACUACCCCAUGGAGCACUCCUCCUCGUCCGGCAGCGGCGGCGGCGGCGGCGGCAGCAGCAGCACCAGCUACAGCUCGGUGCCUCGCCGCGAUAGUGGCUCCGGUGGCUGCUGCAUACAGUAG